rnacentral:rRNA from 1 species
UACGUAGGCAGCGAGCGUUGUUCGGAGUUACUGGGCGUAAAGGGCGUGUAGGUGGUUGAGUAAGUCUGGCGUGAAAUUUUUCGGCUUAACCGGGAAAGGUCGUCGGAUACUGCACAACUAGAGGACGGUAGAGGCGUGUGGAAUUCCGGGUGUAGUGGUGAAAUGCGUAGAGAUCCGGAGGAACACCAGUGGCGAAGGCGACACGCUGGGCCGUACCUGACACUGAUGCGCGACAGCAUGGGGAGCAAACAGG